UNUGACUUGAGUGCAGAAGGGGAGAGUGGAAUUCCAUGUGUAGCGGUGAAAUGCGUAGAUAUAUGGAGGANCACCAGUGGCGAAAGCGGCUCUCUGNUCUGUCACUGACGCUGAGGCUCGAAAGCGUGGGUAGCGAACAGGAUUAGAUACCCUGGUAGUNCACGCCGUAAACGAUGAGUGCUAGGUGUUAGGCCCUUUCCGGGGCUUAGUGCCGGAGCUAACGCAAUAAGCACUCCGCCUGGGGAGUACGACCGCAAGGUUGAAACUCAAAGGAAUUGACGGGGGCCCGCACAAGCGGUGGAGCAUGUGGUUUAAUUCGAAGCAACGCGAAGAACCUUACCAGGUCUUGACAUCCCGAUGCUAUUCUUAGAGAUAGGAAGUUACUUCGGUACAUCGGAGACAGGUGGUGCAUGGUUGUCGUCAGCUCGUGUCGUGAGGUGUUGGGUUAAGUCCCGCAACGAGCGCAACCCUUAUUGUUAGUUGCCAUCAUUAAGUUGGGCACUCUAGCGAGACUGCCGGUAAUAAACCGGAGGAAGGUGGGGAUGACGUCAAAUCAUCAUGCCCCUUAUGACCUGGGCUACACACGUGCUACAAUGGUCGGUACAACGAGUUGCGAGCCGGUGACGGCAAGCUAAUCUCUGAAAGCCGAUCUCAGUUCGGAUUGGAGGCUGCAACUCGCCUCCAUGAAGUCGGAAUCGCUAGUAAUCGCGGAUCAGCACGCCGCGGUGAAUACGUUCCCGGGCCUUGUACACACCGCCCGUCACACCACGAGAGUUUGUAACACCCGAAGUCGGUGAGGUAACCUUUUAGGGGCCAGCCGCC
rnacentral:rRNA from 1 species